rnacentral:rRNA from 1 species
AGCGUUAGUCCGGAAUUAUUGGGCGUUAGAGAGCUCGUAGGCGGUUUGUCGCGUNUGCCGUGAAAGUCCGGGGCUCAACUCCGGAUCUGCGGUGGGUACGGGCAGACUAGAGUGAUGUAGGGGAGACUGGAAUUCCUGGUGUAGCGGUGAAAUGCGCAGAUAUCAGGAGGAACACCGAUGGCGAAGGCAGGUCUCUGGGCAUUAACUGACGCUGAGGAGCGAAAGCAUGGGGAGCGAACAGGAUUAGAUACCCUGGUAGUCCAUGCCGUAAACGUUGGGCACUAGUGUGGGGGGACAUCCACGUUUCCCGCGCCGUAGCUAACGCAUUAAGUGCCCCGCCUGGGGAGUACCGCCGCCAGGCUAAAACUCAAAGGAAUUGACGGGGGCCCGCACCACCCCC